rnacentral:rRNA from 1 species
UACAGGGGGUGCAAACGUUGCUCGGAAUCAUUGGGCGUAAAGCGCACGUAGGCGGUCUGUUAUGUCGGAUGUGAAAGCCCUUGGCUCAACUGAGGAAGUGCAUCCGAAACUGGCAGGCUAGAGUACUAAAGAGGAUCGCGGAAUUCCCGGUGUAGAGGUGAAAUUCGUAGAUAUCGGGAGGAACACCGGUGGCGAAGGCGGCGAUCUGGGUAGAUACUGACGCUGAGGUGCGAAAGCAUGGGGAGCAAACAGG